AAGUCGUAACAAGGUUUCCGUAGGUGAACCUGCGGAAGGAUCAUUAACAGUGUUGUGGCUCACACCACAUACCUCUGACCAUCAUGUGUGCACCGUUUUGACUGCCGUUGCGUGGUUGUGACCGGGACUUUGUCUCGUGAAACGCGCGCAUUUAUUUUACCAACAUGCUGUUUUUGAUGCACUGAAUCGUAAGCUUAGUUGAAAAACUUGCAAAACUUUUAGCAAUGGAUCUCUAGGCUCUU
rnacentral:misc_RNA from 1 species